rnacentral:lncRNA from 1 species
GGCGGCGACACGCGAAGCCUAGGGUAGAGUUGAAUAGGAGAACAGGGCGGAAACUGCGGCUGGGCUACCACGUGCCUGAUUCCGGCACCUAGACAUGAGAUGGAGUUCGGUUAAGUCUUCAGGCCCCAGAGCCCGAACUCCGCCCUUUGGGACUUUGAGUGGGGUGUGCACCGCACGAUGCGUGCGUGCUGGGCCAAGUCGUGAGAACACCAGCCACUCGGAAGGUUGGCAGCCUCGUUGCCUCUGCAGCUUGGCUCCUGCCCCUGCCCACGGGGCUGGGAGGAGCUCAGGAUUCUUGUCUGCCCUGUUUUAAACUUGUAUGGUUCUGUUCCAACAAAUAAAUGUAUCCAUACUUUAGGUAAAA